rnacentral:rRNA from 1 species
GGAUAUAGCUGGUUCUCCUCGAAAUAGCUUUAGGGCUAGCCUGGAGCAGGAAUCUGAUGGGGGUAGAGCACUGAAUCGCCUAGGGGGCCACAAGCUUACCGAAGCAUAUCAAACUUCGAAUACCAUAAAGAUGAUACUCCGGAGUCAGACUGCGAGUUAUAAGAUCCGUAGUCAAAAGGGAAACAGCCCAGAUCGACAGCUAAGGUCCCGAAGUGUGUGUUAAGUGGGAAAGGAUGUGCAAUUGCCGAGACAACCAGGAUGUUGGCUUAGAAGCAGCCACACAUUCAAAGAGUGCGUAAUAGCUCACUGGUCAAGUGAUUGUGCGCCGAAGAUGUAACGGGGCUAAACACACCACCGAAGCUUCGGGCUGCAGCAAUGCAGCGGUAGAGGAGCAUAGUGCACUGGCAGAAGCAUGACCGGAAGGACGUGUGGACGGUGCAGUAGAGAGAAUGCCGGUAUGAGUAACGAGAUGCAGGCGAGAAACCUGCACGUCGAAAGCCCAAGGUUUCCUGGGGAAGGUUCAUCCGCCCAGGGUAAGUCGGGGCCUAAGCCGAGGACAAAAGUCGUAGGCGAUGGAGAACAGGUAGAGAUUCCUGUACCGCCGAUGGAAGUGAAGCACUGACACAGAAGGAUAGCAUGAGCCGGUUGAUGGUAGAACCGGUUUAAGCGGUUAGGGUGAGAGAUAGUGAAGUACGUCUCUUAAGAGCCUGAGCCGUGAUGGGGACCGAAAUUCGAGUAGGGAAGCAUGUGAAUCCCCGCUGGCAAGAAAAGGUGCUAACUUAUUUCAUAGGCGCCCGUACCGCAAACCGACGCAGGUGGGCGAGGAGAGAAUCCUAAGACGAACGGGAGAACCCUUGUUAAGGAACUCGGCAAAAUGACCUCGUAACUUCGGGAGAAGAGGUGCCUCGAAAGAGGCCGCAGAGAAAAGGCCCAAGCGACUGUUUAGCAAAAACACAGGUGUUUGCGAAAGCGAGAGCUGACGUAUAAGCGCUGACGCCUGCCCGGUGCUGGAAGGUUAAGAGGAGCUGUCAGGCAACGAAGCAGCGAAUUGAAGCCCCAGUAAACGGCGGCCGUAACUAUAACGGUCCUAAGGUAGCGAAAUUCCUUGUCGGGUAAGUUCCGACCCGCACGAAUGGCGUAACGACUUGGGCGCUGUCUCAACAGGGGACCCGGUGAAAUUGAAGUAUGGGUGAAGAUGCCCAUUACCCGCGACUGGACGGAAAGACCCCGUAGAGCUUUACUGUAGCUUAUCAUUGAGUUUUGGCAACGGAUGUACAGAAUAGGUGGGACGCAGGGAAACAAAGUCGUCAGAUUUUGCGGAGCGGCCGUUGGGAUACCACUCUUCUGUUACUGAAAUUCUAACAACUGUCAGUGAACCUGAGGAUGGACAGUGAUAGGUGGGCAGUUUGACUGGGGCGGUCGCCUCCCAAAGAGUAACGGAGGCGCCCAAAGGUUCCCUCAGAAUGGAUGGAAACCAUUCGGAGAGCGCAAUGGCAGAAGGGAGCCUGACUGCGAGACGAACGAGUCGGGCAGAGACGAAAGUCGGGCAUAGUGAUCAGGCGGUUUUGAGUGGAAAAGCCGUCGCUCAACGGAUAAAAGCUACCUC